GACGAACGCUGGCGGCGUGCCUAUUACAUGCAAGUAGAACGCUGAAGGAGGAGCUUGCUUCUCUGGAUGAGUUGCGAACGGGUGAGUAACGCGUAGGUAACCUGCCUGGUAGCGGGGGAUAACUAUUGGAAACGAUAGCUAAUACCGCAUAAUAGUAGAUGUUGCAUGACAUUUGCUUAAAAGGUGCAAUUGCAUCACUACCAGAUGGACCUGCGUUGUAUUAGCUAGUUGGUGAGGUAACGGCUCACCAAGGCAACGAUACAUAGCCGACCUGAGAGGGUGAUCGGCCACACUGGGACUGAGACACGGCCCAGACUCCUACGGGAGGCAGCAGUAGGGAAUCUUCGGCAAUGGACGGAAGUCUGACCGAGCAACGCCGCAUGAGUGAAGAAGGUUUUCGGAUCGUAAAGCUCUGUUGUAAGAGAAGAACGAGUGUGAGAGUGGAAAGUUCACACUGUGACGGUAUCUUACCAGAAAGGGACGGCUAACUACGUG
rnacentral:rRNA from 1 species